rnacentral:rRNA from 1 species
GAUGAACGCUGGCGGCGUGCCUAAUACAUGCAAGUCGAGCGAACGGACGAGAAGCUUGCUUCUCUGAUGUUAGCGGCGGACGGGUGAGUAACACGUGGAUAACCUACCUAUAAGACUGGGAUAACUUCGGGAAACCGGAGCUAUUACCGGAUAAUAUUUUGAACCGCAUGGUUCAAAAGUGAAAGACGGUCUUGCUGUCACUUAUAGAUGGAUCCGCGCUGCAUUAGCUAGUUGGUAAGGUAACGGCUUACCAAGGCAACGAUGCAUAGCCGACCUGAGAGGGUGAUCGGCCACACUGGAACUGAGACACGGUCCAGACUCCUACGGGAGGCAGCAGUAGGGAAUCUUCCGCAAUGGGCGAAAGCCUGACGGAGCAACGCCGCGUGAGUGAUGAAGGUCUUCGGAUCGUAAAACUCUGUUAUUAGGGAAGAACAUAUGUGUAAGUAACUGUGCACAUCUUGACGUUACCUAAUCAGAAAGCCACGGCUAACUACGUG